UAGAGUCUCAUGGGGUAACCUCCUCGUGGUCGCUAUAAUGUUGUUCUCACUCUCAAAGGGGCAAGUGCUGAGUGACUUCAGCCAGGUCUCCUUAGCAACCAAAUUGGCCCGGUUGCUAGGGAGGGUAGAGUCUCAUGGGGUAACCUCCUCGUGGUCGCUAUAAUGUUGUUCUCACUCUCAAAGGGGCAAGUGCUGAGUGACUCCAGCCAGGUCUCCUUAGCAACCAAAUUGGCCCGGUUGCUAGGGAGGGUAGAGUCUCACGGGGUAACCUCCUCGUGGUCGCCAUAAUGUUGUUCUCACUCUCAAAGGGGCAAGUGCUGAGUGACUCCAGCCAGGUCUCCUUAGCAACCAAAUUGGCCCGGUUGCUAGGGAGGGUAGAGUCUCACGGGGUAACCUCCUCGUGGUCGCUAUAAUGUUGUUCUCACUCUCAAUGGGGCAAGUGCUGAGUGACUCCAGCCAGGUCUCCUUAGCAACCAAAUUGGCCCGGUUGCUAGGGAGGGUAGAAUCUCAUGGGGUAACCUCCUCGUGGUCGCUAUAAUGUUGUUCUCACUCUCAAUGGGGCAAGUGCUGAGUGACUCCAGCCAGGUCUCCUUAGCAACCAAAUUGGCCCGGUUGCUAGGGAGGGUAGAGUCUCAUGGGGUAACCUCCUCGUGGUCGCUAAAAUGUUGUUCUCACUCUCAAUGGGGCAAGUGCUGAGUGACUCCAGCCAGGUCUCCUUAGCAACCAAAUUGGCCCGGUUGCUAGGGAGGGUAGAGUCACAUGGGGUAACCUCCUUGUGGUGGUGAUUAGUGGUUCUCGCUCUCAAUGGGGCGUGUGGUGAGUUGUGUGUGGAUCGUGGAGAGUAGCAUGAGCCUCCACAUGCUGUGAGUCUCCGCGGUGUCGUGCACAACGAGUCACAUAAGAUGCGCGGAUUGACUGUCUCAGACGCGGAGGCAACUGAGACUCGUCCUCCGCCACCUGGAUUGAGGCGGUAACCGCGCCACCACGAGGACCUGCUAAGUAGUGGGAAUUGGGCGUUCCAAACUGGGAGAAAAUCAAUACAAAAAACUGAAAUAAAGUAUUCAGACCCUUUGCUAUGACACUUGAAAUUGAGCUCUGGUGCAUCCCAUUUCUCUGGAUCAUCUUUGAGAUGUUUCUACAUGUUGAUUGGAGUCCACUUGUGGCAUAUUCUACUGCUUGGACCUGAUUUGGAAAGGCACACACCUGUCUAUAUAAGAGAUUACAGCUGUAAAUGCAUAUCAGAGCAAAACCCAAACCAUGAGGUCAGAGGAACUGCCUGCAGAGCUCCGAGAUGGGAUUGUGUCGAUGCACAGUUCUGGGAAAGGCUACAAAAACAAGUCAAGUUUAUGUUAAUUCUGAUCGCACGUGAAGGAUGUUUAUUACGCUACUUCUACAUUGAUUUUUGCUUUUCUUAAAUGAGAAGUCGCUAGAGUUGAACAUUUCUCUAAUGACUAAAUGACUGAUUUCUGCCGU